GACGACGCUGGCGGCGUGGAUUAGGCAUGCAAGUCGAACGGUAUCAUCCUUUCGGGGGUGAGAGAGUGGCGAACUGGUGAGUAACACGUAGGUUAUCUACCCUCAAGACGGGGACAAACCCAGGGAAACUUGGGCUAAUACCGGAUGUGAGCAACUUUUAGUGUUUGAAAGGUGGCGUAAGCUGUCGCUUGGGGAUGAGCCUGCGUCCUAUUAGUUAGUUGGUGAGGUAACGGCUCACCUAGGCAAUGAUAGGUAGGCGGCCUUAACGGGUGGUCGCCCACACUGGGAUUGAGAUACGGCCCAGACUCCUACGGGAGGCAGCAGUCGAGAAUAGUCUACAAUGGUCGGAAGACUGAUAGUGCGACGCCGCGUGAACGAUGAAUCCCUUCGGGGUGUAAAGUUCUUUUAUAUGUGAGCAGUGCUUCUUAUAUUAACAGUAUGGGGAGAGAGAUAUUAGCAUAUGAAUAAGCAACGGCUAACUCCGUG
rnacentral:rRNA from 1 species